AAGCUCGUAGUGAAUUUCGGGGUUCUACCGUUGGUCGGGCUAACCAGUCUGUACUAGCGUGUAGAAUUCCUACCUUCUGGGGAACCAUCAUGUUAUUAAUUUAGCGUGGUGGGAAACCAGGACCUUUACCUUGAAAAAAUUAGAGUGUUCAAAGCAGGCUUACGUCUGAAUACAUUAGCAUGGAAUAAUAAAAUAGGACGGUGGUCCUGUUUUGUUGGUUUCUGAAUCACCGUAAUGAUUAAUAGGGAUAGUUGGG
rnacentral:rRNA from 1 species